GUGGGGAACGACCAGAGCAGGAAGAAAAAGGGUAAAACCCUAAACUCCACAAAAUCUUCUAAUUGAAGGUGCAAUUGAAGACCAAACUCGGAUUUGAAUACAUAUAAACGAUCACCGAGCUAAGGGGAUCGUAAGGUAUGUCGAAAUUUAUAUUGGCUCUAAACAAGCUAGGUGGGAGCUUGGAAAGGAACGGGUCAAACGGAUCAUGGAUGCGAAGAAUGUUUGCGCGAACGCGAGGUAAGUAAAGCUUACACCCAUUUGUAGUAAACGUAUGUAUUUUAUAGAUGAUAAAUGUGACAACCGAUUACAUUCGAAAUUGAAGUUCCGACACUAAGCAAUAUGAGUCGGAACGAAUAAAAAUGAUCAAAACCAUGGUUAAUGGUAAAAUGGACAAAAGGGUAAUUUAGUCGUGAAUCGACUAAGAAUUUAUAAGAUUUCUUUAAGGUUACCUUAUAUUAAAACUUGAAAUGGGUCGGAUGUGUGAAUGGGAUAUUAAAAGCCAUGAUUUGACAUAAGUAUAAAUGUUUGGUCAUAAAUACCAAAUGGGUCAAAUGGUGGUGAUGACACUAUUUGACAAUAUCGACUAAUGUUUGGUUGUUAAGUUAAAUGUUCGCAGGAGUGAACGGGAAGUGGAUUAUUGCGUUGCUAUAAAGUAGCGGCUAAUAAAAGAAAGGUACAAAACGGGUCUAUAUGUUGACUCGAGCCAGGUACGCAUUAAUUAGAUCAUGGCGAUAUGCGUAGUUGAAUUUUAGAAUAUAAGUUACUAUGAAAUAUAGCGAUGAUAUCGCUACAUUGAAUAUUUGGUCAAAAGAUGGUUAGAACUCGUUGGUAGUCGUCAAAAAGGAAGGAAUUCCGUAGACGAGCCAAACGGGUCGAAUAAUCAGGUAAGGCAUGGUUAUUGUUUCGGAUUAUGAUGGUUUGAUGGUUGAUUUUGAAUAUUUUAUAACAUAUUAGAAAUAUGAGGUUUUAACGAAUUAGUAUCAUAGAAAACUGAA
rnacentral:lncRNA from 1 species